rnacentral:rRNA from 1 species
GACGAACGCUGGCGGCGUGCCUAAUACAUGCAAGUUGAGCGCUGAAGGUUGGUACUUGUACCGACUGGAUGAGCAGCGAACGGGUGAGUAACGCGUGGGGAAUCUGCCUUUGAGCGGGGGACAACAUUUGGAAACGAAUGCUAAUACCGCAUAAAAACUUUAAACACAAGUUUUAAGUUUGAAAGAUGCAAUUGCAUCACUCAAAGAUGAUCCCGCGUUGUAUUAGCUAGUUGGUGAGGUAAGGGCUCACCAAGGCGAUGAUACAUAGCCGACCUGAGAGGGUGAUCGGCCACAUUAGGACUGAGACACGGCCCAAACUCCUACGGGAGGCAGCAGUAGGGAAUCUUCGGCAAUGGACGAAAGUCUGACCGAGCAACGCCGCGUGAGUGAAGAAGGGUUUCGGAUCGUAAAACUCUGUUGGUAGAGAAGAACGUUGGUGAGAGUGGAAAGCUCAUCAAGUGACGGUAACUACCCGGAAAGGGACGGCUAACUACGUG